AUUGAACGCUGGCGGCAGGCCUAACACAUGCAAGUCGAGCGGAGCGGCGGACGAGUGAGUAAUGCCUAGGAAUCUGCCCGGUAUUGGGGGAUAACGUCCGGAAACGGGCGCUAAUACCGCAUACUAUCUGCUGAGCCUAGGUCGGAUUGGCUAGUUGGUGGGGUAAAGGCCUACCAAGGCGACGACCCGUACCUGGUCUGAGAGGAUGAUCAGUCAAACUGGAACUGAGACAGGGUCCAGACUCCUACGGGAGGCAGCAUUGGGGAAUAGUGGACAAUGGGCGAAAGCCUGAUGCAGCCAUGCCGGGGGUAUGAAGAAGGCCUUCGGGUUGUAAAGUACGUUCAGUCGGGAGGCGGUACCGACAGAAGAAGCACCGGCUAACUCCGUGCCAGCCGCCGCGGUAAUAC
rnacentral:rRNA from 1 species